UACGAAGGGGGCUAGCGUUGCUCGGAAUCACUGGGCGUAAAGCGCACGUAGGCGGAUUGCUAAGUCAGGGGUGAAAUCCUGGAGCUCAACUCCAGAACUGCCUUUGAUACUGGCGACCUUGAGUCCGGGAGAGGUGAGUGGAACUGCGAGUGUAGAGGUGAAAUUCGUAGAUAUUCGCAAGAACACCAGUGGCGAAGGCGGCUCUCUGGCCCGGUUCUGACGCUGAGGCGCGAAAGCUUGGGUAGCAAACGGG
rnacentral:rRNA from 1 species